GAGUUGGCAACCCUUAGGAAUUGGAAGAAGGAGAAGAAGAAGAAGAAGAAGAAGAAGAAGAAGAAGAAGAAGAAGAAGAAGAAGAAGAAGAAGAAGAAGAAGAAGAAACUGAAUUACAGAUUACACUUAACCUGUUUUGUAAUAGAUGGGGAAACUGAGGACCAGGACAAAUGGCUUGUUCAGUUUCCUCCGUUGUAGCUGCAUCCCCGUGGCGCGGGCCCAGAAUUUAUGAGUCAUCGGCCUUAUUUACUUCAGAGAGAGUUACAAUGGCGAAAGGAAAUGGCCGAAUUUAUUUAUUUGACAUGGAUCUACUGACUCUCAGGGAGAGAAGAUGGAGGGGUUGUUUUGCCCAACACCAGUGAUUCCCUUUGGAUGUGUGACUUCUACAAUCCUAAAAGGAGAAGCAAUUGCCACACCAGGAAUUUCUCUUCUAAUUACAUCAUUCAAACCUCUUCAUGGUUUUUCUGUUCUAGAUACAAAACAGGAAGACAAUGCAAGACUCCCAGCAGAUUUUUACCAUCAGCAUCUGGCUAAUUCUUAGUCCCAACCCCCAAAGGCCUUAUACAGAAAUUCAUGGUAUCUGGUAACUCAAUACUUACUUUAUCUUGAGUAGCCACCUUUUAACAAUGAAACAGUGAUAACCUCAAGAUAUGAACUUCAAGCUAAAUGUGAAAACAAUAAUUUUAUGUUUUUACAGAAGAAGAAUGGUGUUCCAUUUUAUUCUGGGAUAUGUAUGCUCAAAAACUCUCAGUCAGCUAGUUAAGGAUGCUGUCAAUAGUAAAUGAAGGACAUGGCAUGAUGGAGCAAGCAAUCUUUCCACUUGUAAAUGUGAAGCUCACAGUAUGUUAAUCUUUCCUAAUUCUUUCUUUUUUAAAAAGAAUAUUGACUUAGUGUGGCUGGAAACAUAGCUUGGUUUGUACAGUGCUUGCCUAGAAUGUAUGAGGUGCUGGGUUUCAUCCCAACACUACAUAAACUGGGAGUGUUGACUAAUGGGUUCAUGGCAGUAAUCCCAGGACUGGAGAGGUGGAGGCAGGAGAAGCAGAAGUCCAAGGUCAUUACUAACUAUGUAGUGAGUUCAAGGCCAGCCUGAAGACUUCAUAUGGGGAAAGGAGGAUCUAGUGAAACCUAUUUCAGGGGAUGCCAUUGAACAAGAAAUAAGUAUGCACGUGAAGAUCUUUGAGAAGUACCUCAUACACAGCAGGAACUCAAUAAACAUGGAGAUAGAACAAACAUUUUCUAAGUUGUCAUAAGGAAUUAAAGAACCAUGAAACUCCAUUAAGAAUAUUAAUGGAAGAGCUAUUUAAGUAUCUUGUUUGUAGCAAUACACAUAUAUAACACAAUGGCAUAUUUUGCUUCUCAAAAAAAAAAAAAAACCAUGCCAUUUAACUCUUUCCAUAACAAUAAGAAAAUUAAGU